GAUCAUGAAGCAACCAAUUCUGGGUACAGAUAGGUCUCUCUGAUGAAUUGAAGAGCAACAGGGUGCUUGUCUUGGUCGGGUGAGUGGAGAGAGAGAGGGGGUUCUUGUCUCGUGCCGGCGGCAGCGGAGCUAGACGGGGCAGGCCCGUAGAGGCCACUGUGCCGUCUAUGAAUAUCUAAGAGGAGCAGAGGGCGAUGGUAUAGGGGGAUAAAUAAACUAGGCGGCGGCGGUUUUUGCAGCGGUGGUGAGUUAGGAUCGCGGCGGACUAGGUCCAGGCCACCCGAACGGUGGCCGACGUCGCCGUUGCUGCAGAGGUACGGAUGUAGAAGGAGGUCGUCUCGACGUGCGUACUCCGCACGUUGAUGCCGGCAGUCCACGCUCGCCGAAGUGGCCGUGCCGAGGCCGUUGUACCGGCGAUGGUCGCGGGCCGAGCGGAAACAGAUGACGAUGAUCAGUUCCAUUUAUCUAGUUCCACUUAUCUACGAAUACCUGACUAAGUUUGACUCCACCUCUAUCUAUUCUUUAGUUCGUUCUUCCCGAUUGUGUUGUUCCAUGAACUAAUCAUGGACCACCGCGUACGUUGGGUUUCUCGAAGUGUCGUCCCCUCCUAUCGUCACACCGUCUUCCACUUUUCCGUUCCACUUUUCCGUCUCCCCAAAGAGGUCGCUUACUAACACACACCGGUGUCACUUUCCCUACCGAGGAUAAAUAUCACCCCACUUAUCGAUACAGCCAAACCUCUCCGUAAUGUAGACCGUACGUACGCACCAAUCAGAACGUACGUACGGAGGUGAACACAGAGAACGCCCUACAUGGUCCCUGUUCACAUUAAACGAACCGACCGGUAAUCAACCGUAAAUGAAACACACUUCCUUUACUCUGUUCCCAGAUAUUUUAUAUCCCUCCAAACCUCUUCUUAACAACACGUACUGAUUUA
rnacentral:rRNA from 1 species